rnacentral:rRNA from 1 species
GACGAACGCUGGCGGCGUGCUUAACACAUGCAAGUCGAACGCUGAAGCUCAGCUUUUGUUGGGUGGAUGAGUGGCGAACGGGUGAGUAACACGUGAGUAACCUGCCUCCUUCUUUGGGAUAACGCCCGGAAACGGGUGCUAAUACUGGAUAUUCACUGGUCUUCGCAUGGGGGUUGGUGGAAAGGGUUUUUCUGGUGGGGGAUGGGCUCGCGGCCUAUCAGCUUGUUGGUGGGGUGAUGGCCUACCAAGGCUUUGACGGGUAGCCGGCCUGAGAGGGUGACCGGUCACAUUGGGACUGAGAUACGGCCCAGACUCCUACGGGAGGCAGCAGUGGGGAAUAUUGCACAAUGGGCGCAAGCCUGAUGCAGCGACGCCGCGUGAGGGAUGGAGGCCUUCGGGUUGUGAACCUCUUUCGCUCAUGGUCAAGCCGCAACAAUGGUUGUGGUGAGGGUAGUAGGUAAAGAAGCGCCGGCUAACUACGUG